UAGGGAAUCUUCGGCAAUGGGGGCAACCCUGACCGAGCAACGCCGCGUGAGUGAAGAAGGUUUUCGGAUCGUAAAGCUCUGUUGUAAGUCAAGAACGAGUGUGAGAGUGGAAAGUUCACACUGUGACGGUAGCUUACCAGAAAGGGACGGCUAACUACGUGCCAGCAGCCGCGGUAAUACGUAGGUCCCGAGCGUUGUCCGGAUUUAUUGGGCGUAAAGCGAGCGCAGGCGGUUUGAUAAGUCUGAAGUUAAAGGCUGUGGCUCAACCAUAGUUCGCUUUGGAAACUGUCAAACUUGAGUGCAGAAGGGGAGAGUGGAAUUCCAUGUGUAGCGGUGAAAUGCGUAGAUAUAUGGAGGAACACCGGUGGCGAAAGCGGCUCUCUGGUCUGUAACUGACGCUGAGGCUCGAAAGCGUGGGGAGCGAACAGGAUUAGAUACCCUGGUAGUCCACGCCGUAAACGAUGAGUGCUAGGUGUUGGAUCCUUUCCGGGAUUCAGUGCCGCAGCUAACGCAUUAAGCACUCCGCCUGGGGAGUACGNCNNCAAGGUUG
rnacentral:rRNA from 1 species